AUCCGCCGGAAGGAGGGCUCCGCAUUGCCAGUCUUCUCAUUGCCUGGCUGCUGGAGGCAAGCAGAGGUCGGGAUUCCUUCUUUCCUGCUCUGAGAGGGACCAGGUGCCUCCUCCGUAGCUUUUGUCUUUCUGUUGCCUGCGCGUGUCCUGGACUGCUCACGGGAGUUCUGCAGGAGACGCCGGAAUAUCUGGAAGCUGAAAAAUGGAAAUAAAUGGAAAGACCAGAAUAUUGAAGAUCACUACAGAACUCUAAGGACCAAAUCAACAGCCAAUCUGGGUGCCAUUGAGAUAUCUAAAGCGUUACUAUGAGCCGGAUACCCAGGAAGAGGUUUUGGGAGGAUCCCAAAGACUCCCUGGUUGCAGCCAUGUCAAGACUGAUGCUGAGGGGGACCCCAACUGUCACGAGCAACACCUGUUGAACACAGCCACCUACCUGGGGACAGAUCAAGAAGCUGUCACAGAUGGUGGAGAAAAACCUGAGAAAAGCGGGACAACCAGUCACAAUGAGUAAUUUAAUGAUAGCUAUGAUAGCAGUGAUCACCAUUGUCAUGAGUAUUCCUUCAACAAGGGCUGACACAGAGAACAAUUACACUUAUUGGGCAUAUUUAUCAAUCUUGGCUGGCAACAAUGCCUGGAUGUGAUCACUCUAUGACACAGUUACACGUGCUUUCUGGUCUCAGUAUUUAUCAUAAUAAUCUGCUCCUAUAAUUGAGGCAUACUGCCCUCAAAAACCUACUUAUAAACAGGAUUAGACCUGGUCAGAAAAAAUGAACGUACUUCUUUGGGAAGAUUGCAUUGCAGAACAGGCAAGGUGCUAUGCAAUGAUUCCUAUGGAGUCGUUAUUGAUUGGUCCCCUAAGGGGAUGUUUAGCUUGAAUUGCACCUCUCAGUCUGCCUGCCACGGCCACACUAUGUUCAGCUGGUCUGAACAAAAUGGUCAGAUGGUAGAAAUGAUAAGUUAUCUGGAAACAUGGUGGUAUAGUGGCACCUCAACCUCAAAUGAUAUGGCCCACUGUAGGAGCUAAACAUAAGGAUUUGUGGAAACUAUUAAUGGCUCUUAGUAAGAUCAAAAUUUGGGAAAGGAUAAAAAAGCAUCUAGAAGGACACUCUAGAAACUUGGAUAUUGCAAAAUUAAAAGAACAAAUAUUUAAAGCAUCCCAGGCACACCUGACCUUAAUGCCAGGAACUGGAGUGCUUGGAGGAGCUGCAGAUGGAUUAGCAGCUAUUAACCCAUUAAAAUAGAUAAAAACAC
rnacentral:antisense_RNA from 1 species